rnacentral:ncRNA from 1 species
UGCGACAGUGAUUCUGCUCAGUACGAGAGGAACCGCAGGUUCAGACAUGUGGUGUCUGUGCUUGGAUGAGGAGCCAGUGGUGCAAAGCUACAGUCUCUGGGAUUAUCACCGAAUCCCUAUAAAAGGAGAUGGCCUAUUGGUUCCA